ACUAGCCUUUUGUCCCUGGCCAGAGGAAGUGAAGCGGUCAUCUCCGUCCUUCCCGUACACCCAGGAUUAGCUGAGACAGCGCCCUAUCACCACGCACGCCCCUGAUCUGGACGGCACAGCCGAGUCCGUGGCGGCGUGGUCCUUCUCCCCAGGUCCCUGGAUCCAGCCGAGAUUCAUCCUGGAUGCAUCGUCCAGCCGCUGCCCUCGAUGCCUCCGCUGCGUCUCUCUCCGUGGCCCAGCCGCUGCCCUCGAGUCACCGUCCGACAGCCUCGACACCUACCGGCAGUCGGACGGGCGCGCAGCCGCACCUGUUAACAUCCAAUUUCACAAGAAGGUGCUCUUGCAGGUAAGCACGAUGGUUCUCCGAUCCGCUGUACUUUCACUCAAUUUUGUUUGGACGGUGGGUAAUUCCUUUCAUCUAGUCUUCAAUAAACCAGAUCAGUUUAUACACGCAGCGGACUUUCUGGACUGGCGCUAUGCCGCUCUAACCUUCUCUCCUCCUCUGUUCCAACUCCCUCCUCCUCGUUCCCCCAAUCUUUCCCUCGCCCUCUGAUCUCUCUCUAAUCCCUUGUCACAUCUUCUUUCUUGUGGAUCCUUUCUUAUCAGCUGUCCUGCUUUGGCCCUCCCGGUCACUUGUGGUUCUGGAGGGGCGGGUUUCUAGCAUAAAAAGAGAGCUUGCUCGUCCGGAUGCGGACGAGCAUGGGGAAAAGAGUGUUAAUCAAGUCACUCAGCUCUCUUCUCGAGCGAUUGCGCCAGAUCCUGGGAUUGAGCUCACCAUGCAAGCGCUGUCCAUCAGCGAACCGGCGAUUGUUUAUAUUCAGUCUGAACAGAGGCUUGAGGAGGGUCAGGAUGCAGAUUUCAAUUUUCUCAUGAAGCUUGCUUCUACAAGAGGUCCAAUCAGAGUUCUUUCGGUUUAGACUGUGCAGCACUCUAUGGCUAGAGCAUGGAGGGCUAUUAUGGUAUAUCGCAAUUAUCAAGGUAUAUUUUUGUGGCUCACUUCCGUUCUUUGGAUGCUGUUAUGUUUGUGAUUACUCCUCAGCCUUGGAGCAUGGGUUCGGAUAACUUUCUGCUUGAAUUAUGGGUACUGCUAUUAUCAAGGCACUGCCUUGAUAAUAGCUGUACCCAUAAUUCAAAGAUAUAUAUGUGCGUGCUCUCAGUUGGCACCUCACUGCUACGACCAGUUACUUGAGAUUGCGGAAGCCAGCGCUGGCCCGGAUGGGCACCUCGCUGUACCCAUAAUUCAAAGGUAUAUUCAAGCAGAAAGUCAAAGUGGUGCCUUUAUAGGUACAGUGCUGCUGCCAGUCACAGUUAAUCCAGAGACAGCCGCUGUUCGGAGCGACAACACGGGAGUAGCACAAGUUGAAACAUUGCAGGCUCUAGGACAGCAGAGCGGUGCUAUUUCGGACCCGGUGCAGAUGGGCGGUGCUAAACAAUCUGGGCCAUUUUCUUAGGAGUUGCUGGGCCCUCUGUACACGCCUAGGCAGGAGAUGAAUAUAUUGAAGCAGCGAUUUAGGCCAGAUUUGGGCCAACAGAUUGCCCACAUUACUCAACGCGUGCUGGGACCGAUUGGCACUUUGGAUCAGAAUAUCCCUGUUAUCCCUCCGUCUUCAACCCUAGAUGCCUCUCAUCAACUUGAACUUGCAAAUCCUCUUCUUUGCCCUGAAAUUCCUAGUCUGUGUGUAGUGCCUGCAACUCGCAUUACACAAUCUUCUCCUAAAUCUAUCCAGGCUCCCAUGGAAGACAAAAAUCUCAAUGGGAGUGUUACUUUUAGUCCCUCCCUCUUCUCAGGCGUUGUGCCUUCCUCGUCACCGCCUCGCUGCCCUAUCCCCUCUCCCCUCAGAUCCAGUCCCGAGAGGCCGUCGGACUCGCUACUUGGUGUUUGCACACGAACACGUCACCGUGUACCGUCGACGCCCGGGGUGAUGCACCGCAGCUCACGUCGAAGGAGACCUUCCGGAAGCGCGGUACGCAAGCAAUCCGGCGGGUGCUUUUGAAGACCCGAAACCCCACGCACCCGGGAGGAACCCCGUCAGAGCGCGCGGCGGCUAUGGGCUGCCCUAGGUCGACCUGAUCGCCCCUAGGGCCUCGAGGUUCGCUGCCCUGCUACAAGACAAACAGACGAAGAACGAGGAAGAAAAGAAUUAGGGUUAAGGAGAAACGAUAAAAGAUAAAAAAGUGGUAGAUGAUUUGAUCGAUUGUGUGUUGUUCAAACGGCCGUCACCCCUUAGGUAUAUAAGAGGCGGCUAGACUUCCCAUGCAAGGAAAAGGCUUGGAUUCACGUCCAAAACCCUAGUCAAAUUCGGAUUGGUUUUGUCCGAACUUUUCAAAACUGUUCGGUUUAAACUGGCUGCACCUUGCGGGUAAUUUUUGAGGUGGUAAACGACCUCUGAUGGAAACGAGCCCAAAAGCAGUCUUGACCGCUUCGACGAGACGAAUAACUUUCAUGUUGGACAUUUUUUGAUUAGAGGUCAUCUUGAGGGUCAAAUCGGUCGCCCAAAACAGGCUAUUAUACGUCCUGACAAGGCUGUAUUCUGAUGGCUCUAACUUUUGCGUACGAACUCGGAUUGUGAUGAUUUUAUAUGAAAAUCGACCGUUUCAACGAUACGAAGACAAUUUGUGUAGAAACUUUUCUUAUAUGAGGUCGUCUUGGAGUCUUAAUUGGCCGAACAAUACUUUGAAAACAAAAUCUUAAUACUUUGAGCAUAGUUUCGGCCCUUGAGAUGAGGUCGGAUGGCGAUGGCCCAAACUUCAAAGAUGUUCAUGUUGACAAUACGGAACUUUUUCUAGUAGAUCACUUCUCCAUUUGAGACCAUAUCAAUUAAGUUUUUGACCGUGCCAAAAUCUGGUGUCAACACAUGCCCCCUGUUUUUGGCAAAACUUGUGUGCCGAAAAAUAACUUGCACGAAGUUUGUUCUAAGAGCGAUGUCAACACUUCAUCGGCCAUUCGUACGUGCUUAGGACGAUAUGUAUAUAUUGGCCAUUUAGAUUAGAAACAAAAGUGAAGCUAAUCGAACAUAUAAUGAUUUGGUAAUACCCUUUCAUGAUGUAAGAAAUUAUAUUGCAUCCAUGGAUUAAAAUAAGCCCAUUGAGGGUAACCAAUCAUACCUGAUGACGAAUUUCAUGGCAUAGCCAUCAACGGCAUAGUUGAAGAAUAUAAAUAAUGUGUGGACCGAAGAUGUUGAAACCUUCGGCUUGGUCCUUCAUAGUUUUCACUCUUUUCCUUCUUCAUCUUUGCCGCACGUCAUGUAAUGGAUGCUUUCACAUAAUUCUUAUUUUGAGUGGUUCCUUUAGAAACCCAUGCCAUGUUUCUUUCUUCAAGUUUUUGUGCACUAACUUUUUGUAAUUUUUUUUUUUGCCGAUAGGAUAAGCCGAGUGAGCACCUCGGCUGUGAUUUUGUUUGAAGUAAUGAAAAUUAUGCUUUUACCUUGCGCACUCUCAACUUCUUCUCUUCAGAUUUGACACUUCAUUGACUUGCCUCAUUGCCUUUCGUAGCCAAUAUCAACACUUUAAUUGGCUCUUUGUUAUUUGAGAUCAAAUCUGAAGUACCACAGUUAUGACCAUCUCUUUUCACGCGCUGCAUAGUAUUGGUGAGAUGGUCUAAAAUAAGAUGAAGAAUGUGCCCUUGUAUUAUACAUAUCCCAUGAUGGAUAUGGAUUUACAUGAGCAUAAGGAGGUAUCCAUGACAUUGGCAUUAGCGGCCCAAAGUAAGGACAUGAAUAUGCUGCAUAGAGAUUCUAGGGGUGAUCUUGAUGCUUCUGAACUACUUGACCGAUAAGCACUUUUCUCUUCACUCUUCUUUUAGACCUUAACUGUUUUGAAUCUUCAUGUCUAUUUAGGCAAUAGCACGGGGUAAGAAAGUUAUAACCAAUCGGUGGAUUCGUAAGC